rnacentral:rRNA from 1 species
UACGUAGGUGGCGAGCGUUAUCCGGAAUUAUUGGGCGUAAAGAGCGCGCAGGCGGUUGAUUAAGUCUGAUGUGAAAGCCCACGGCUUAACCGUGGAGGGUCAUUGGAAACUGGUCGACUUGAGUGCAGAAGAGGGAAGUGGAAUUCCAUGUGUAGCGGUGAAAUGCGUAGAGAUAUGGAGGAACACCAGUGGCGAAGGCGGCUUCCUGGUCUGUAACUGACGCUGAGGCGCGAAAGCGUGGGGAGCAAACAGG